rnacentral:lncRNA from 1 species
UCUUCUUCCUUUUCCUCCUUUUUAAAAUACUUAGACAAGGAUCAGUUGUUGUGGAUUCUGUCCUGAUAUUCAAUGACACAAACAAUGUUCCGGACACUGCAAACGUGACCUCCACGCUGGAAGAAGCAAUUGCUACCAACAGUUCAGAUGUUGCUGAACUUGCCAUCAAUGGCAGCAGUAUAGUUGCUGAACGUGCGGUGUCUGUAACCACACAGUCACCAGCAUCCCCAGCUCAGACCUCCAUGGCAUCAACGCUGACAGUGACAGCUACUUCAACAAUGGCUACUAUGGCUGCUGCCUCCACUACUGCCCAGACAGCUGCCUCCACUACUGCCCC